rfam:Salmo salar isolate Sally breed double haploid chromosome ssa04, whole genome shotgun sequence.
UGCAUUCACUACUGUAAAUCGCUCUGGAUAAGAGCGUCGGCUAAAUGACUAACA